CAGCAGCCACGGUAAUACAGAGGGUGCAAGCGUUAAUCGGAAUUACUGGGCGUAAAGCGCGCGUAGGUGGUUCGCCAAGUUGGAUGUGAAAUCCCCGGGCUCAACCUGGGAACUGCAUCCAAAACUGGCGAGCUAGAGUAUGGGAGAGGUGAGUGGAAUUUCCGGUGUAGCGGUGAAAUGCGUAGAUAUCGGAAGGAACACCUGUGGCGAAAGCGGCUCACUGGACCAUUACUGACGCUGAGGCGCGAAAGCUAGGGGAGCAAACAGGAUUAGAUACCCGAGUAGUCCCUGUCUCUUAUAC
rnacentral:rRNA from 1 species